rnacentral:misc_RNA from 1 species
CUGGCUUGCUUGAGCUUUCGAUAAUUACACUGCCAUAGUUUAGUGCUUGGACAGAAACAACUUAAAACAGGCAAAAUUUCUCAAGAGGUUGAACUGAAUCCCUAAUCUACCUAUAAUUAUCAACAUUUUGUCUUUUUCUUUGAAUCCUUCCUUUAACUGAAUAACUGAUCUUCCAUACCGUCUCAGCUUCCACAGGAGACACUGCCACUUCUUAUCACUGACGUCAAGAGGUUGUAUCCUAGAUCUGAAAAUCUACAGCUCCCCCGAAAAUAUAGCACAGGAGCAUUUGCAUCAGAGAGACCACUGCCGCUACCUUGAUGCUUGAUCAAGACCAGUGGCAGCAGAGCUCAUGCCAGGGGCAACACCAUUUUCAUUUGGAGGUGGUGUGCCCCAUUUACCUUCCGACUCUAGAGGCUCAAGCACAUAAACUCCGCCAUCAGUAAGUCCUACUGCGCAUUGGUUUGAUUCAGAUGGAUGAGCAGCAACGACAAGUGGAUAUACUCUGGAGCUUGGGUUAGAAGGCAAGUAGGCGGCAGGAUUCACCCGACACCUCAGCUUGAGUGCUGCAGCGGUAAAGAUACUCACACUUCCAUCAUCAAAACUUGCAAAAAUUGAUUGGCUAUCACACGAAUACGUCGCAUCAGUAACUGCAAAAUUUGGUGAAACCCACUGCUUCACGCAUUCAAGCUUUGAUGCUUCAUAUAUUGCUAUCUGUGUUUCAUGAACAACCAACAAAUGCGUCUGAUCUUGAUGGAACUGAACCCGUGUCUGAGCAAGAGGAUUUAUUGCUCUACCAGAGGGGAUCUGCAAAAACUUGCUGGCUUUCUUCUCCCAUCCAUCCAUGCUCCAAACACAUAGCUGAGCAUCAGCACCAGAUGAUACCAGAACAUUCAAAACGCUAGAGAAAGCCAAGCCAGUUACUCUCUUCUGAUGACCUUUGAGUUUGCUUUUCACCUCAUCAACGCGAACAUUAUAUAUUUGUAUAGAAGAGUCCUCCAUUCCGAUAGCAAUAAUGUUAUUAUCCUGUGGAUGAAAAGCAAGAAAAGUUGCUGCAGGUGGAGGGGGCAUGAAAGUUGUCAUGGUCUUAAAAGUCAUCAUGUUAAACAAAGAAAUUUUUCCACCAGAUGCGGACAUAACAUAAGAGUCAUUCUUGGAAAGUGCAAAGCAUGGAACAGCUUCUUCAGGGUUUGUGUCGCUUAUAUCAUUUGUCAUCAGAAUUCCACUGGAAGGUUGCCAUAAUUGAGGGGGGACAGCAGUAGAUGCCUUUCCUGUCACGUUCCUCUCGUUCCGUUGCCACUUCCAGAGUUUGUGUACGGCAUUGUAUGCCAAAGCCAGAAUUGCACCUCCCGAAUUUGUGUACAUUAAUCUAAUGAUCCUCACGGACAGUUGAUUAUCUGGAAGCCUCGAGGAACGAACUUGAGCAGGUUCACUAAUUUCAGUCAAUUUCCAAAUUUUGGAUUUCUCCAGCUCAUCAGGAAUCCUAGGCUUGGUAUCUUGCAGGUUGCGGUUAUCUCCAUUCAGUUGAACAAUAGCCGUCACUGGCGCAGUUCUAUCCGCAAUACUGAUGCUAGUUCCAGCAGUUGAACUAGAAGCACCAUAUGUGCUGAUCAUGGGUGCCUUGGCAACAGCACCAGGAGGACCUCUGGAGGGAUCAAGAGCACGGCU